rnacentral:rRNA from 2 species
AGUCAAUCUAACCUAUGGACGUGGAUAACCUCGGGAAACUGAGAAUAAUACACGAUAGAUCAUGAUGCCUGGAAUGGUUUAUGAUCAAAAUGAUUUAUCGCCGUAGGAUGGGACUGCGGCCUAUCAGCUUGUUGGUGAGGUAAUGGCCCACCAAGGCUAUAACAGGUACGGGCUCUGAGAGGAGAAGCCUGGAGAUGGGUACUGAGACACGGACCCAGGCCCUAUGGGGCGCAGCAGGCGAGAAACCUUAGCAAUGUGCGAAAGCACGACUAGGUUAAUCCGAGUGAUUUCUGCUGAAGAAAUCUUUUGUCAGUUUUAAAAGUACAGACGAAUAAGGGGUGGGCAAGUCUGGUGUCAGCCGCCGCGGUAAUACCAGCACCUCGAGUGGUCAGGAGGUUUAUUGGGCCUAAAGCAUCCGUAGCCGGCUAUGCAAGUCUCCGGUUAAAUCCAACUGCUCAACAGAUGGGCUGCCGGAGAUACUACACAGCUAGGGAGCGGGAGAGGCAGACGGUAUUCGGUGGGUAGGGGUAAAAUCCUCUGAUCCACUGAGGACCACCAGUGGCGAAGGCGGUCUGCCAGAACGCGUUCGACGGUGAGGGAUGAAAGCUGGGGGAGCAAACCGGAUUAGAUACCCGGGUAGUCCCAGCUGUAAACGAUGCAAACUCGGUGAUGCGUUGGCUUAUGGCCAACGCAGUGCCGCAGGGAAGCCGUUAAGUUUGCCGCCUGGGAAGUACGGACGCAAGUCUGAAACUUAA